rnacentral:tRNA from 1 species
AAUAAAAUGCCUGAGAAAAGGGUUAUCUUGAUAGGAUAAAUUAUGUGUAUAUUUAUUACACUUUUAUUA